UCAAACUUGGUCAUUUAGAGGAAGUAAAAGUCGUAACAAGGUCUCCGUAGGUGAACCUGCGGAGGGAUCAUUAGAGAAAUCUAAUCUUGUUUUGCCCAUCAACACUGGUGCAAAAUAAACCACCCCAUGCCUGAGGUUUGGCUCAUCUUUAUGAUGCGGCCAUCCUCAGUUCAUAUAUACACCUUUUAUACUGGCCAGCCUAACGGCGCAGUAAACUGAAACUUUUUUUUUGAAGUAUCAUUGUUUAAAUGUGAACCUUGAUAUUGAUAAAAUUAUAAACAACUUUCAACAAUGGAUCCCUCGGCUCUCCCAUCGAUGAAGAACGCAGC
rnacentral:misc_RNA from 1 species